rnacentral:sRNA from 1 species
AAAAAUUGGGGUAUGCAUGAGUGCAUGAUAUUUCAAUGGUGUGACCGCAAAUUUGUUGUAACACUCCGGUUUCAGGAAUAUGGUGAUGCAUACAAAGAGGUUUAAAAGAAUUGAUUUGGUCACUUAUGCCACCAAAAUGCACUUACCUUGUUGGUCAAACAUCCUAAGAAAACUUUACAAUUAAGAGUGAUUGGGUUGUGGAGUAAUUUCAGAAUGAGUGACCUUCUAGGAAGUAAUUGUCGGAACUGUGCGAAUGAGGACAAAACAUGGAGAAAGAAUAUCUGGUAAUUUAUAAGGUCGGUAAACAAGUAUUUAAAGCCUUCCAGACAUAGUGGACCGACCAUUGGCAGGGAUGGAUCCAUGGGUCCGUGAAAGGAUGUGAAGCCCGCUGAUAGAGAUGGCCGGGGCGUUACAUUUGUGAUGUUUGAUGAUUCUUUACAUGUGGAACCAUGUGUAAAGUUCUUAGAAAGCAGCUAUGAAAUGGGUUAAAGAAAUUGGAAUAAAGAG